rnacentral:rRNA from 1 species
UACGUAGGGUGCAAGCGUUGUCCGGAUUUACUGGGCGUAAAGAGCGCGCAGGCGGUCGUUCAAGUCGAGUGUGAAAGCCCCCGGCUCAACUGGGGAGGGUCACUCGAUACUGAUCGACUCGAAGGCAGGAGAGGGAAGUGGAAUUCCCGGUGUAGUGGUGAAAUGCGUAGAUAUCGGGAGGAACACCAGUGGCGAAGGCGACUUCCUGGCCUGUUCUUGACGCUGAGGCGCGAAAGCGUGGGGAGCAAACGGG